UGGCGAACGGGUGAGUAACACGUGGGUGAUCUGCCCUGCACUUCGGGAUAAGCCUGGGAAACUGGGUCUAAUACCGGAUAGGACGAUGGUUUGGAUGCCAUUGUGGAAAGUUUUUCGGUGUGGGAUGAGCUCGCGGCCUAUCAGCUUGUUGGUUGGGUAAUGGCCUACCAAGGCGUCGACGGGUAGCCGGCCUGAGAGGGUGUACGGCCACAUUGGGACUGAGAUACGGCCCAG
rnacentral:rRNA from 1 species